rnacentral:rRNA from 1 species
AUGAAGGACCUUGGAGAAGCUGCUUAUAUAUUAGGCAUCAAGAUCUAUAGAGAUAGAUCAAGACGCCUCAUUGGUCUUUCACAGAGUACGUACCUUGACAAGAUAUUGAAGAAGUUCAAUAUGGAUCAGUCCAAGAAGGGGUUCUUGCCUGUAUUGCAAGGUGUGCAAUUGAGCACGGCUCAAUGCCCGACCACGGCAGAAGAUAGAGAAAAGAUGAGUGUCAUCCCCUAUGCCUCGGCCAUAGGGUCUAUUAUGUAUGCCAUGCUGUGUACCAGACCUGAUGUAAACCUUGCCGUAAGUUUGGUAGGAGGGUACCAAAGUAAUCCUGGCAUGGAACACUGGACAGCGGUCAAGAAUAUCCUAAAGUACCUGAAGAGGACUAAGGAUAUGUUUCUCGUUUAUGGAGGUGACGAAGAGCUCGUCGUAAAGGGUUACAUCGACGCU